rnacentral:rRNA from 1 species
UAGGGCGGGACGGGGUGGAGUAAUGUCUGGGAAACGUCUCGAUGGAGGGGGAUAACUACUGGAAACGGUAGCUAAUACCGCAUAACGUCGCAAGACCAAAGAGGGGGACCUUCGGGCCUCUUGCCAUCGGAUGUGCCCAGAUGGGAUUAGCUAGUAGGUGGGGUAACGGCUCACCUAGGCGACGAUCCCUAGCUGGUCUGAGAGGAUGACCAGCCACACUGGAACUGAGACACGGUCCAG